UACGUAGGGUGCAAGCGUUGUCCGGAAUUAUUGGGCGUAAAGAGCUCGUAGGCGGUCUGUCGCGUCUGCUGUGAAAACUCGGGGCUUAACCCCGGGCCUGCAGUGGGUACGGGCAGACUAGAGUGCGGUAGGGGAGACUGGAAUUCCUGGUGUAGCGGUGAAAUGCGCAGAUAUCAGGAGGAACACCAGUGGCGAAGGCGGCUCACUGGUCCGGUACUGACGCUGAGGCACGAAAGCGUGGGGAGCAAACAGG
rnacentral:rRNA from 1 species